rnacentral:rRNA from 1 species
AUCCACCUGAGUCGGAUAUGAUCACCCGCCGAACUUAAGCAUAUCAUUUAGCGGAGGA